rfam:Brachypodium distachyon strain Bd21 chromosome 1, whole genome shotgun sequence.
GAACUACUCCCUCCGAUCCUAAAUUCUUGUCUCAAAUUUGCCCAAAUAUGGAUGUAUCUACUCUUAAAAGGUGCCUAGAUACAUGUAAUAUUUCAACAACAAUUUCAACAACAAUUUAGGAUCGGAGGGAGUACGUC